GAUAUUGAGAUUGAAAAGCUCAAGUCUGAAAUUAUUGCUUUGGCUAGACAAGUAGAUUUGUCUGAGUUGGAAUUGCAAACUCUUCGAAAGCAAAUUGUAAAAGAGAGAAAAAGGGGGCAGGAUCUCUCCAGAGAAGUCACAGGCUUGAAAGAGGAGAGAGAUGUUCUCAAGGCAGAAUGUGAGAAACUCAAAGCCUUUCAUAAACGUAUAGAGGAGGCAAAAAACAAAGACAAGUUGCAGUUUGAGAGCGGAGAUGCACGAGUCUUUCUUGAAGAAAUCAGACAAGAAUUAAAUUAUGAAAAGGACAUGAAUGCCAAUCUUCGAUUACAACUGCAGA
rnacentral:misc_RNA from 1 species